rnacentral:rRNA from 1 species
GACGAACGCUGGCGGCGUGCCUAAUACAUGCAAGUAGAACGCUGAAACUUGGUGCUUGCACCGAGCGGAUGAGUUGCGAACGGGUGAGUAACGCGUAGGUAACCUGCCUGGUAGCGGGGGAUAACUAUUGGAAACGAUAGCUAAUACCGCAUAAGAGUAGAUGUUGCAUGACAUUUGCUUAAAAGGUGCAAUUGCACCACUACCAGAUGGACCUGCGUUGUAUUAGCUAGUUGGUGGGGUAACGGCUCACCAAGGCGACGAUACAUAGCCGACCUGAGAGGGUGAUCGGCCACACUGGGACUGAGACACGGCCCAGACUCCUACGGGAGGCAGCAGUAGGGAAUCUUCGGCAAUGGACGGAAGUCUGACCGAGCAACGCCGCGUGAGUGAAGAAGGGUGUCGGAUCGUAAAGCUCUGUUGUAAGAGAAGAACGAGUGUGAGAGUGGAAAGUUCACACUGUGACGGUAGCUUACCAGAAAGGGACGGCUAACUACGUG